UCAGUUCCCCUUUGGCCCUCUUUGGUUUCUACUGAUUGCUGUCCCAUGAUUCCCAUCUCCACUCUAGCCCUUUUUGAUUUUUGCUUCUGCAGACUGUCGUCCCGUCUCCACUCUCGCCUUUUGUGGUUUCUGUCGACUGUUGUCUCGUCUUCCCUCUCCACUCUUCAGACUCUCCACCCUCUUCUCUUCCCCUUCUCUCAUCUUUAGCAAGUCCAAGUUGCUUUGCUGCCACCCUUGAUCCUUCACCUUUUUGGGCCUUCCCACAUCAAGUAAUUGAAGAGAAGAUGGCGGUGCUGUUGGAACAUAUAUUGGUGUUUUGGAUCUUGUCAACAAAAAAAAACGAAUUGGGCCUACUGUUUUUACUUCUGAAAUGAGUGCUUCUGGUGUUAAUGUCAAUAAUGUGCCUGCUGCUGAAAAUCCAACCCAAGCACCUGCCAUUACACUUCCCUUUGUUGCACCACUCUUGUCUCUUGCAUCUUUCCUUCCAUCUGAACCCCCCUCUACUUCACAGUCUCUAGCUGGUUUAUUGUCUCUCACUUCUAUUUCUGCUAGUAUGUACUUUCUAGGGCCUGGUUUAAGAGUACAACUUAUUUGUUGAAGACUAUUUAUUGUUGUUUUUAUCUAGUUAAAUAUUAUUAAUGAUUUGUUGUUAUUUACUCAA